AAAUGUGAUGGUGCUUGCACUAUGCUGACGAUCGGCGCACGGGUGCGUAACGCGUAUAGAACCUACCUUAUAGUAAGGGAUAGCCCAGAGAAAUUUGGAUUAAUACCUUAUGGUAUCAUAAAUCAGCAUUGAUUAAUGAUUAAAGAUUUAUCGCUAUAAGAUGGCUGUGCGUUCUAUUAGCUAGUUGGUAUGGUAACGGCAUACCAAGGCUACGAUAGAUAGGGGUCCUGAGAGGGAGAUCCCCCACACUGGUACUGAGACACGGACCAGACUCCUACGGGAGGCAGCAGUGAGGAAUAUUGGACAAUGGAGGCAACUCUGAUCCAGCCAUGCCGCGUGUAGGAAGACUGCCCUAUGGGUUGUAAACUACUUUUAUAGAGGAAGAAACCCCGGUAUGUAUACCGGUCUGACGGUACUCUACGAAUAAGGAUCGGCUAACUCCGUGCCAGCAGCCGCGGUAAUACGGAGGAUCCAAGCGUUACCCGGAAUCAUUGGGUUUAAAGGGUCCGUAGGCGGGUUUGUAAGUCAGUGGUGAAAGUUUUCGGCUCAACCGGCAAAUUGCCAUUGAUACUGCAAGUCUUGAAUCAUUAUGAAGUGGUUAGAAUAAGUAGUGUAGCGGUGAAAUGCAUAGAUAUUACUUAGAAUACCGA
rnacentral:rRNA from 1 species